rnacentral:misc_RNA from 1 species
UGUAGGCAUUACCCGGUGCUUCCUUCUUGCUUUCUGGCAAAAAGUCGCGGAUCUUUUCUAGAUCUGUCCCGGCCUCAGACAACUGCCCACUCGAUUAUACGCCGCGUCUUCACUGUUUGCUGUUCCACAUCUUUUUUUUUGUUGUUUGCUUCACAUGACGACCGCCAUCAAAGAUGAGGCAAACUUACCCGGCAUUGACGACAUCCCCCCCCCCGGGUGGGGUUGAAGAGCGAUGCCGCAGACUGGCUGCCAUCGGCAUCAUCGUGCCCGUGCCACUGCAGCUGUUUCGCAAGUCCGGCACCUACACGGGCAUCUUCGAAUAUCACCCCAUUUGCAUGAUGCUCGCCUUUGUCAUGGUGAUGCCGGAUGCUGUGCGAGAUAGCAAGCAACUGCGUCAGGGACACCGGCGGUCGCCGCUCGAAGACAGGCCUCCACGUCACGAGAUCAUCAUGCGCCACCAGCUGGCCUCCUUUCUGAUGGAGUUGGCGGCGGCUGGCGGCUUUGCUGCGGUAGAGUACACAAAACUAAAGAAGCACUAUCCGCAUCUCCAGUCGUUGCACAGUAUCGUGGGUACCUUCUGCGGCCUGACAAUCGUGUGCCAGAUAGUGCUCGGCUCCAUCCUUCGCUAUCUGCUGGCACCAGCGAACCCGAAGCGUCCAAUAGUGCGGACGGUGCACUGUUGCGUCAGUGCAACCAUCGCCGUGACGGCGAUGAUGGCGAUGGCUGGAGGCUUUCUCGCCACCGAGUACGCGGAGAGGAUGAUUCCGCCUUCGCUGAUCCGGACGGCUAUUGUCCUCGCGGCUGUUGCCACCACGGUUGCCGGAUUUCUCAUGUAGACAGGCGCGAGGCAUCGGCACGUUCGUGCAAGGACCACCCAAAGACACCGUCAAUGCUGUGUGGACACCCGUGAAGAGAGCGAGCUGGAGAAGAAAAGGAAGGGAAGGGGGAGGGGGAAUAGUAAGCAGGCAAACGUACUCAGAUAGAUUCGGGUAGCUCUUCUGUUCCUCUUUUUGCACGACGGCCAUCACCCACUUUUCACACCUCUAGCCGCUGCAGCACUUCUUUUUUUUUGUUUUUGUCUGUGCUAGCGCGGCAAGACGAGAGGAGAAGCAAGAGAAGGGAGGCGGCAGUGCAUAUGGAGGAUGCAGCACUGCCACCUUAACGGGGCGUUCGAACUUUUCUUUUCAAUGCUCUCCCAAAUUCCUUUUCUUUUUUAAGCAUUUCCUUUUUCUCGGCUGUUCGAUCUGCAGCGCAUGCGGGAGGCUUUCAAGCCACACCCACACGCAGAUGUACAGUUGGACAAGGAACGACCGGCUUGGAGAAUGAUAAUUCAUUCCUUUGAUUUUUCUUAUCCUCUUAUAUUUAUUCUGAAUGGCGCUCUUGUCGCCCUGAUGACGAGGGACCUCUCCGUGCGUCGCAUCCUCAGGGCACCAGUGGUGCCGGUCUCUGCGGGGGAGAAGCCAGCACCCCCUAUAUAUCCCCUGCCGAUCCCAAGCCACUCUGGUGUUGACAGGGUCCAAGCGCUGACGGCGUAGGGAGGCCGGAGCGAUGUAUUGCUGCUGAUGUGGGCGGUAAGGGCGUGGGUGCCGUUGCGUCAGGGCAACCUGAAGCGCGUGGGGUGGGUGGAGUUUAAUGCCGGGGCCGUGCUCGCAGAUGACUGCGUCGCCGCAUUGCUGUACGUUGCGCGUGUCUAGCGCUGCUUUGGACCAGGCGCAUGGGGCCCUGUGGCAGGGCCGGUCGUGGGGCAGAGUGGCGUCGAGUCUCAUUUUGUACAGCAGGAACUGUGCACCUUG